GUCAGGUGAUCAUUAGAGAGGAAAUAGGCAACACAUGGCUCUGUGAACAAUGUGUUAUUGUUUGUUAGAAAUCCAGCUACAUCUGCAUACGUCUUAAUGCCUUUGAUCGCAUCGUAUGACAAUUCUGGAGAAAUGGAUCUGCGGGAGAAGAAUCUGAAAAGUGCACAGCGGAUCAUCAGGAUCGAGCUGCCAUCCACCUGGACACCCCGAGGUGCUGGAGAAAGCAAAACGGCGAUCAGGAACAUCCUCCACCCAGACGUCUGCUUACUGCUGUCCUACAGACUUGUGUCUUAGUUUCAGAAUUAGAUUUUGUGUGUGUCCUUUCUUUUAAUAGAUAUUUAACGAUUAUAGCUUGAGUCGGUCUGAUUCCCCAAACAGCUGUUUCUAUAUACUUGCUGCACAUAUAAUACAAAUAAAGAACUCGAUAAAUA